UGUCUCAUUUUAUGACCGACUGAAGUAACUUUGGCCUCACUCAUCUAGAAAAUUAAAGUAAUAUCUCAUCUAGUGAACAUCUCAGACGACAUAAAAUAUUUACUAAACUAAAUCCACUCUAAGAAGCACUGAACUCUCAAUGACCCAGGCAGACAUCUAGCCCUAUUGAAACCUGUGGACUACCAGGGGCAUGACUAAGUGCUCAGCUGGAUCAGCACCACCGAUUACUCACACUUUGUAGAACUGAGCCCCAGAAAAUGGAACCUGUAGACCAGGACAGUGAUGAUGCUCACCAGUUCGUUUCAUCCCAGGGUGUUCCUGCUAUGCCUCAUGUCUGCAGUCUCCUCAUCCAUACGGCUCCCUCAUUUCCAUGGUCCCCCACAACUGCAGGAUGCAGUAAAGAGGAGUGAAUACCAGUGUACUGACCUUGAGGUGGGCUCCUCUGUUACAAUAUCACAUGGGGUAUUACUUCAGAUGUAGAUCUUCUUAUAUACUGGAUCCCAUUCAUUAUCAGGGACACUUUUCAUCUGUUAAAUGCAAAUACACUGUACAUUAUUCCUUGAUCAACAUGGUGGAGACUUUCAUGUCAGUACAGGAGAUUUCAACACAUUGUUUCCAUUACUUUUAAUGGAAAAUGUGUGGCUACAACUCUUGCCCUGCAUUAAAAAAUGCCAACUCUGUUGGAAAAUGUGUUGUGAGGAUGGGGUAUAGGGGGACACUUAGAGUAGGUGGUGAUCAAGAGGGCAGAGAGAGACAGCAGAAGGAAAUCCCUGGCACUAAAGUGCAAAUCUACCCUGCCUUCUACUCCUUUGCAUAGUCCGACUAAACGCCACCUGGAGCUCAUCCUGGAGAGCCCUGGGAAGGUGUAAUAGGCAAGCCCUGGAGUGGUAGACAGGACAUGUGUUAUGUUUCUUCCUCUGCCACUGACCUACUGUGUGACCUUGAGCAAGUCAUUGAUCUGUGCCUCUGUUUUCUUUCAGCUGCAGAAUCUGUAUUAUCUAUUUAUAUCAUAAGCUUCUUGGUGCCUGCCUCUUACAUGGUGUUUAUAGAGAGGCUAGUGUAAUGUAGCUCCAAUUCCAGUUGGAGCACUUCAAUGUUACUGUAAUUCAAAUAAUUAAUAGUAAUAUGAAUGAGUAGGGUUUUUUUCCAGGACAAAGGAGGCCUGGGGAGUUUAUUGUAAGCUUAGCAAUCUAUUUUGUUUGUGUGAUAAACUAAGUGAAUUGAGACAUCGAUAUUGCCUUAACUGGUGAUAUCCUAGAUAUAUAUUGUGUUCACUAGAAAUGCAUUAAGAACCAUCUUCCAUGUGAAGUUAAUGAAGUUUUUUAUAUGCAAACUAAGGAACUCCAAUUGUAGGGGAACCUCAGUCCCUGCACCUGCUUUGAAAAACCCAGGAGCCCAAAUUAAAUUGUCUCCCCCCACCAUAUUAAAUGUUGUGAUGUCAAAUGAUGCAAUAAAGAAAAUA